GUCUACGGCCAUGCUACCCUGAACAAGCCCGAUCCCGUCUGAUCUUAGAGGCUGAGCAGGGUUGGGUCUGCUUAGUACUUGGAUGGGAGACCACCUAGCCUAAAUAAAAAAAAUAUAUAUA
rnacentral:rRNA from 1 species